UUACUAAAACAACGCCAAAAGGUAAUAUAGAAAAAAAUGUUGCGCCUUUAGAAUUAGCAUUAUCAUCUGGUGCCACAUUUGUAGCCCAAGGUUUUU
rnacentral:sRNA from 1 species